rnacentral:rRNA from 1 species
AGGAGAGUUUGAUCCUGGCUCAGGAUUAACGCUGGCGGCAUGCCUAAGACAUGCAAGUCGAACGAGAUGCCCCUUUGAGAACUGAAUGAAGUUAGAGAGCUUGCUCAAAGAUGGAAUGACGUAGGAUAAGGAAUUUGCAUCUAGUGGCGAACGGGUGAGUAACACGUGGGUUAUCUGCCUUCAAGUUGGGGAUAACAGUUAGAAAUGACUGCUAAUACCGAAUGUGCUAGUAAUAGUAAAGGUGCUCUCAAGCAUCACUUGAAGAUGAGCCUGCGGCGUAUUAGCUAGUUGGUGGGGUAAUGGCCUACCAAGGCGACGAUGCGUAGCCGGACUGAGAAGUUGAUCGGCCACACUGGGACUGAGACACGGCCCAGACUCCUACGGGAGACAGCAGUUAGGAAUAUUCGGCAAUGGGCGAAAGCCUGACCGAGCAAUGCCGCGUGUGAGAUGAAGAUCCUUUGGAUUGUAAAUCACUUUUAUUUGGGAAGAACAGUAAGAAGAGGAAAUGUUUCUUAUUUGACGGUACCAUUUGAAUAAGCCCCGGCUAACUACGUGCCAGCAGCCGCGGUAAUACGUAGGGGGCGAGCGUUAUCCGAAUUUAUUGGGUGUAAAGCGUGUGUAGGCGGUUUAAUAAGUCUAAGGUUUAAGUCCGAAGCUUAACUUCGGUGCGCCUUAGAAACUGUUUUACUUGAAUGCAGUAGAGGCAAUUGGAAUUCAUAGUGUAGCGGUGGAAUGCGUAGAUAUUAUGAGGAACAUCAGUGGCGAAGGCGAAUUGCUGGGCUGUUACUGACGCUGAGACACGAAAGCGUGGGGAGCAAAUAGGAUUAGAUACCCUGGUAGUCCCCU